rnacentral:lncRNA from 1 species
AAGAUAAACAUAAAUAAACAAUUGAUUAAAACAAAAUAACAUAAGAGUAAAAAAGUGAAAAAAAAAAAAUAAAAAUUUUAAUAUCAGAAAUGUAGGAAUGUUUUUUAAAUGUCUUUUUAAUUAAGAGCAUUUAUAAUUUUUUUUGAAAGGCAUAUUUUUUUAAGCUUUUAAAAAAAAAAAAAAAAAAAAAAAAAACAUAAAUUAAAAAAAAAAAAAGUAUUACACAUAAAUGAUAUGUGACACAUUUCAAUCCAUAUAUAUGUAUAUAUAGAUAUAUAUAUAUUUUAUUUUAUUUCCAAAAUGGAGGAGGAAUUUGUUUUAAGUGAAAAAUUAGAAGAACUAAAAAAUUUAAUCUUUUUAGAUGAUGAGCCUUUUGAGCACUUGGACUUUGUGGUCAGAAUAAUAAAUGCUAAUGUGAUGUUACCUAGAUAAUAUAGCUUAUAUAUACAUAUAUAUACAUGUAUUUAUAUGUGUAUAUUUACUUGUGUUUACAUGCUUAUAUAUUCGAGUACUGAUUUAAAAUUAAAUGUUUUAGAAGGUGCCAUGUAUUCCCCUUUGCGUCCUACCUGGCCUGUCGUUCUUAAGCUGCCGAGCUAUGGAAGAACAUAAAAAUGGACACAGAAAAGAUGAAAUAAACGAAACCGAUGAAAUAUCAAUUGAAUAUUUUUAUGCAAAAAGGUUAUACAAAAACAGUUUAGUAAAAAUAAAAUUUCCCGAGUUUUAUGAAAUGGCAGGAGCACUCUUAGCUGAUUCCACUGCAGCGUCUGUUGGAAGUUUAACUCAUCUUUAUUUUGAAUUAGGAAACGAUUUAUGUGAAAUAUUGCCAGAAAACGAAUGGCCUGUUGAAAAAUUGGAAGAACUGUUAAACAUAGCAGAAACGAGGAGACGAAUUUAUUUAAUCAAGCAUAGUGACAAAGUUGACCAAACGUAUUUAGAAGGAAUGACAUAUAUGGAAAGAAAAAGUAUUAAAAUAUAUAUUAAUGUAUAUAAACACAUGUAUAGACGCAAUAAAUAACGAUGACACAUUAAAAAAGUCACGGAUGUUUUGCUUGUUCUAUAUAUUAUAUUUUAUUUUCUAUACCGACCUCACUAUAUUUGCUCCUUUUUUUUUUUUUUUUUUUUUUUUUUUUCUGCUUUUCUUUUUUUAGUGUUUAAUUCAUUUUCAUUAGGAUCAGAAAUAGAUAAACAAAAAGCUACAUCAUCUAGAGAAGUUUUUAACUUUUUUGAAUUCGAUAUAUAAUUUUCCACUUUUAUAUAAAAUGUUUAAAUAAUGUAUCAUUGAUUCAUGACUCACUUAUCAACCCAUUUUUUUCAUAAGCACAUCCACAUAUAUAUAUAUAUAUAUAUACGUGCAUGCAAAUAAAAUAGUUUUGCCAAAUGUAUAAAUUUUUAUU